ACGCCGCCGGCCGCGCCCGGCCCGCCUCGCCGGGCAGAGACCGAGACCCCCGCGCCGGCCGAGGAUUUUUAGAGCACCUCAGACGACAUCCUAAAUGGAUGAUUAACAUCACAAUGGCAGAGCUCACCGUGGAGAAUGGCAGCUGUAUGGACUGGCAAAAGCGAUGCCUUGUGUUGGAGUCCCAGCUCUUCAAAUUCCGCUUGCAGGCAAGCAAGAUCCGAGAGCUGUUAGCUGAGAAGAUGCAGGAAUUGGAACAGAGAGUGAUAGAAGCAGAGCAAAGAGCUGAGGAUGCAGAGAAACAGGUCAGAGUUAUGGAAGAGAAGAUAAAACUUGCCAAUGCGAAGACUGGUGAAUCUGACAGCACCCUGCACAAGAAAUACCAGGAGCUGAUGUGCACAAUGCAAGGAAAGGAAGAUCUGAUCAACAAAUUGGAGACAGAGCUAGCAAAACAGAAACAGCUGAGGACUGAGGAAGCCAAAAUUGUUCAAGAGAAAGCUGCCAAGAUCAAAGAGUGGGUAACAUUUAAGCUCAGGGAGCUUGAGCUAGAAAAUUACCACCUGAAAAACUGUAAUCAGAGACUGAUGGAGCAAAUUGAAGCUCUUCGGGAUACAUUGCAAGACAUGACCAGCAUUCCUCCCUUGGAUUCUCUUUGGAGCUGUGAUUCCCUGAAGCCUCAAGCAUCAGGAGCCUCUUUUGCUGAGAAGAUAGAGCAGAAAUCUGUGCUCCUUGCACCUGGUUUCAGAGAGGUGUGUCAGACAGGACCUUCCAAACAUGUCCUCUCUUCAGCAAACAUAGUCCUUGCCAAUGACACCAUUACUGAGAAUGGAGAGGAUAAAUCUCUGCUUUCCCAGAGCAUGCUGAAGCUCAUAUCUGACCCAUCAAGCUGGAAUCUCUCCACAGAGAGAAAUGUAUUUCCAACUGUAAGUUCUGAACAUGGUUUAGGGUGCUCUGGUCCCAUAUCACUGGACCCUCCAGCUGAAACCACAAGAAUUCUUGAGGCUUUGACCUUCCAAUCAUCUCUGGAAGGAAACUGUAGUGCUGUGAGCACCUUGCAACAAGUGGGUUUGGAUAGCACCUGCUUCUCUGAUGAUCUGAGUGCCAGAUUCCAUUCCCACCAGCUGGACUCCUCUUCCUCAGCAGAAAUUAUGAGCAUGCUUGAGGGACAUCUCCAAACUGCUGAGCCACCUCUGGUUGUGUCAACAUCAGCUGUUACAGCACAUUCCUUCUUUCCAGGGAGGGAGUGCAGCCUUGGCAGUAGUAUGACCUUUCCAAAAAUACGAACACCCAGUACACCAAGAGGCAGUAUCCACAGCCAACCACAGUCAGGGGCUAAUUCUUUCCAUCGUGUAAUGCACUUAGAGACUAGCACUUUCCAGCCCAUGACAGACCCUCCAGUCAGCUCUGGGCACGUGGAGGAGACAGACAUUGAUGAUGAUGGAGUAAUGGAGAAGAUGGAGACAGAAUGUGGCCUGCUGAGGGGAGAAGCUGCAGCGUGUGAGGGAAUGUGCCACUUAGCUGCAGAGCAAAGAGAAGCUGUGAGUUCUGAGUCUGGCACACUUGACCCGGGAUGCAAACCUCCCACACCACCGCUGCACCGAUUCCCAUCGUGGGAGAGCCGAAUCUAUGCCGUGGCCAAGUCUGGCAUGAGGCUGUCUGAAGUGGCCAUGGUGAAUGAUACUUCCAGCUGCUUUUCCAAUUUCUCGUGUUCAACUUCUGGGCCAUUCACCUAUCUCAUCUACAGAAAUGUCACAGUGCCAGUCUACACUACACUGAAGGGGAAAGCCACACAGAUCAGCAAUGUGCCUUUCUUAGAUGAGUCUUCAGGCUCUGAUGAUGACUGUGGCUCCCAUGCCAGUUUCAGGACUUCUGCUGCUGGAUCUGAGAACAGGAAAGCUAGCAUGCCAGGCAGCCCCCGGGCCGUGAAGAGAGGUGUGUCUGUGUCCUCACUGAGCUCUGAGAGUGACUAUGCCAUCCCUCCUGAUGCCUACUCCUUGGAUGGUGACUAUUCAGAGCCAGAGCACAAGCUGCAGCGAACAUCUUCCUAUUCCACUGAUGGUGGGAUCUGCUCUGAGCCCAUGGAGAAAUCAGGCUACUUGCUGAAAAUGGGCAGCCAGGUAAAGACGUGGAAAAGACGAUGGUUUGUUCUCAGAAACAGACAAAUCAUGUACUACAAAUCCCCGAGUGAUGUUAUCCGCAAACCACAAGGGCAGCUGGAGCUGAAUUCUUCAUGCCAAAUUGUCAGGGGUGAAGGGUCCCAAACAUUCCAGCUUGUGACAGAAAAGAGAACCUACUUCUUGACAGCAGACUCUCCCAACAUCCUGGAGGAAUGGAUUCAUGUCCUGCAGAGCAUCCUGAGAGUACAAGUGAGCGGUCCUGUUGGUGUUCCUCACAGUGAUGCUAAACCUACUGUGAAAGGCUGGCUCACUAAGGUCAAGCACGGUCACUCUAAGCUGGUCUGGUGUGCACUGAUUGGAAAAACUUUCUACUACUAUCGAAAUCAUGAAGAUAGGUGUCCCUUGGGACAUCUGCCUCUGCGUGAGUCCAAGGUGGAAGAAGUAGACCGCUCCUGUGACUCUGAUGAAGAUUAUGAAACUACUGGUGGAGGACUUCUCUCAUCCCACUGUACACUGGUGAUUCACCCACAGGACCAGAGUCCCACAUAUUUACUUAUCCGCACCAAGCAGGAGAAGAACACCUGGCUGUACCAUCUGACCGUUGCAGCUGGUAGCAGUAAUGCCACAGUGGGCACAUCUUAUGAACAGCUCAUUGGAAAACUAUUGGAUGCAGAGGGAGACCCUAAUUCUCCUCUGUGGAAGCAUCCUAUGUUGUGCUACAGUAAAGAUGGGUUGCACACAUCCCUCACUACUCUGCCAUCAGAGGCUCUACAGACUGAAGCCCUGAAACUUUUUAAGUCCUGUCAGCUGUUCAUCAAUGUUCCUGUGGAGGCAUCCUCUAUUGAUUACCAUGUGUCACUUGCCCAGACAGCACUGCAGGUGUGCUUGACACAUACUGAGCUGCAGAAUGAAAUUUACUGUCAGCUUGUUAAACAGACCAGCUGCCGACAACCCCAGAACCACUCAGUCAUUCAGUGCUGGCAGCUCCUGGCUUUGUGUGCUCCUCUGUUUCUGCCUCAACAUCACUUCCUCUGGUACGUCAGGCAGCACUUGCAGCGCCAUGCAGACCCCAGGAGUGAGACAGGCAAGUAUGCCAUCUACUGCCAGAGAUCCGUGGAGCGCACGGUGCAGGCUGGAGAGAGGGAAGCCAAGCCCUCCCGCAUGGAGAUCGUGUCCAUCCUGCUGAGAAAUCCCUACCACCACUCACUCCCCUUCAGCAUCCCAGUGCACUUCAUGAAUGGGACGUACCAGGUUGUAGGUUUUGAUGGUUCCUCAACUGUUGAUGAAUUCAUCCAGAGACUGAACCAGGAAACAGGAAUGAGGAAGCCAUCCCAUAUGGGAUUUUCUCUGUUCACAGAUGAUCCUUCUGGCAGGAAUUUGGAACAUUGUUUGCCUGGCAAUAUGAAGAUCUGUGAUGUAAUUUCCAAAUGGGAACAAGCCUUAAAAGAAUUGCAUCCUGGGAAAUAUGAAGGUGGCACAAGAAUUGUAAAGUUGACCUACAAAAACAGACUGUAUUUCCGGAGCCAGGCCAAAGGUGAGACAGACCGUGAGCGGCUGCUGCUGGCCUUCCAAGUGAGCAAUGAGAUAGCCAAUGGAAGGUUUCCUGUUAAUAAGGAAUUAGCUCUGGAAAUGGUGGCUCUGAUGGCUCAGGUGGAAUAUGGGGAUUUGGAUCGACCCGGAUCUUCAAGUCCUGGGGGACCAUCACAAUUGAAAAUGCAGCAUCUUCUCCACCAGGUUUUAGAUAAAUUCUACCCCAAACACUACAAGCAAAACAUUACUCCUGAACAACUCAGGCAGCUGACCGACAGGCUGGCGACAAAGUGGAUGGUGCUGCAGGGGUGCUCUCCCCCAGAAUGCAUUCGAAUUUAUUUGACGGUGGCCCGGAAAUGGCCUCUCUUUGGAACCAAAAUAUUUGCUGCUAAGCCUAUUUUGCCUUCCUCCCUGGAAGACAGUCCAGUCUGGAUAGCUGUGAACGAAGAUGGUAUCAGCAUACUGGAUUAUAACACAAUGCAUUUGAAAGUCUCUUAUUCAUACUCCUCUGUGCUGACCUUUGGAGGCUGUCGAGAUGACUUCAUGAUUGUAGUCAGUAAAAUGAAAGAAAGAAGUUCUGGAAAAGAUAGCACUGAAAAACUCCUCUUCACAAUGGCAAUUCCAAAGAUUGUUGAAGCAACACUUCUGAUUGCCAGCUACAUUAACUAUCGUUCAGCUCCUUCCCUGCUGUGUUCCACACAGCCCUCACCAAGCCAAGCACCUGCCAAGAAGCCCUGGGACACUGAAAAUCUGUGCUUUUUUCCUUCCGUGCCCCGAAGCACAAAGGGGCCCACCCUGCUCUAAGGGCUUGUUCCACAUGAGCUGAUUUUGUUGGUUAUAUACCACAGAUUAAUGCAGGCUCUGAUUCCUUUUCCAUGAUAAUAGACAAAGUUCCUUAGAGGUAGAGGCAGUGUACUUUCUCUUAAAAACAAAAAGUUGAUUUGGGGGACUGUGUGGGAGUUUGCUUUCUGUGACACAUUCCAUCCAAAACACCAUUCCUCAGGUCAUUUGCCUGCACAGUGCUCCAGUCAUUACAGCUGCACUCAUUCUUCCAUCUCCUACUCUACUGCCUUGCUUUACAUGUGCAUAUAUUUUCUUUGAUCCCUCCCAUUUUCAGAUUUCAAACAACAUAAACUUUUGUGUUAUUGCUCAGACAUGAAAGAAAGACAUUGCUAAGAAAGAAGAGGAAUUAAACUCACAAGAAUAAUUCUGAUGCAAGUCAAGGGUGAUUUCAGACCUGAAAUAGUGAGUACAGAAUUAGAGUUCAGCAGUACUUAAGAGUAUUUUCAACCUUAAAUAAAGGUGGAAGCCUAGGGUCUUUUCAUGUUGAGUACUGGGAGCACCUGGGACCUGGACAGUGUCAGAGAAUGCCCUGGCACUACAGGAGCGGUGCCUUUUGGAAACUGACACUGUUCUAUGAACAUCAGAUUGCUGCUGCAGGGCAGGGCUCCGUGUCUCACAUGCUCCACUCUCAGACAAGCACUUUCUAACAUUUCUGAUAACCACUGUUGUAGAUGUGUCUGGAACUGCACAUUAUCUCAGAAAAAAAGAAGACAAGGCAAGCAAAUUUUGUACUUUUUCUGUCUUUCGGCAACUGGGACCGAUCUUCCCAGACAAGCUCUGCCAUUCUGACUUGACAGAAGCUGCUUCUUUUAAACUCCUGCUUCUUUCAUGUACCAUAAGCAAGGAGGAGGUAGUCAGCAAUUGUGUACUCAUGUUCUUCUGACUUUCCUAAAGAAUCUUUAGUGGACAACUACACCAUGGGCACAGGAUGCUUACUCCUUCAAAAGAUUGCAGAAGCUAUCUUUCAGACUUUUUGCUGUGACACAGCUUCUUGGUAAUUUCUUCAGUGCACAUUCUGAGGACUUCAUGGGACUUUUACAGCACAGUCAGCACUCCCAGCACAGCCUUGAGCCCGUGAUCUGUCCACUCUGUUGAGCCAUCUUUUCUCUUCUGACACAAAAGGCAGUGGCACAUCCCCAAGCUGCUGCCUUUCACUUGGACAAUGAGAAUACUUCUGUGACAUGAGCUAACUAACCUCUGUCUUUCAAACUUUGUAGGACUGUGGAAAAAACCCCACAAAUCCCCCUAUCUCUACCUUCUUGCAUGAUGGUAUGGUGCCAAGUGUUCAUUUACAGAUUAUGUGGACAAGCAUGGUACAGUAUUGUAUGCAAAUAAGCAUGAAUCCAGGCUCCUGCCAACUUGUGGGUUUAGCUUUGGACACUUCAGUCACCUCAUUAAUAUUACUAAGGAGUUGUGGAAUAUAGAGAGAAAAAUACCAGGU